rnacentral:rRNA from 1 species
GUGAGUAACACGUGGGUAACCUGCCUGUAAGACUGGGAUAACUCCGGGAAACCGGGGCUAAUACCGGAUGCUUGUUUGAACCGCAUGGUUCAGACAUAAAAGGUGGCUUCGGCUACCACUUACAGAUGGACCCGCGGCGCAUUAGCUAGUUGGUGAGGUAACGGCUCACCAAGGCGACGAUGCGUAGCCGACCUGAGAGGGUGAUCGGCCACACUGGGACUGAGACACGGCCCAGACUCCUACGGGAGGCAGCAGUAGGGAAUCUUCCGCAAUGGACGAAAGUCUGACGGAGCAACGCCG